rnacentral:piRNA from 1 species
UUCAGGAGGGAUUUGUGUGUUGU